rnacentral:rRNA from 1 species
AAGGUCCCUAAGUCGUUGCUAAGUGGGAAAGGAUGUGGAAGCACACAGACAACCAGGAGGUUGGCUUAGAAGCAGCCAUCCUUUAAAGAAAGCGUAAUAGCUCACUGGUCAAGUGAAUCCGCGCCAAAAAUUUAACGGGGCUUAAGUAACGCACCGAAGCUGCGGGUUGAUUUAUCAGCGGUAGGCGAGCAUUGUCACAGCUGUGAAGCCAGACGGGAACGACUGGUGGAGCGGUGACAAGAGCGAAUGCAGGCUUGAGUAGCGAUAAACCGAGCGAGAAACUCGGUCGCCGUAAGCCCAAGGGUUCCUGGGUCAAGUUAAUCUUCCCAGGGGUUUAGUCGGUUCCUAAAGCCGAGGCCGAAAGGCGUAGGUAAUGGAAGGCAGGUUAAUAUUCCUGCACCAGUAAGGAUGACGUUGAACGCAGGAAGGACGGAGAAGGGU